AGUAAUUCCGGUGAGGUUGCGAUGGAAUGUAAUAUACCGGAUUUUAAAUGUAAAAGUGUAAAUAAAUAAAAAUAGUGUGGGAUACUAUUUUUAUUGGACUUAUAGACAUAAAUUAUAAGUCUAGAGUGACCCGUGUUGAAAUGGAAGCGAAAACAGAAGAUUUAGAAUUUUCUGUGAGAGACGGGCAGACGAAAAAUAUCUGUACCG
rnacentral:lncRNA from 1 species